UCCACAGCCACACCCUCCCCUACAGAAGCCCUGACAGCACAGCCCCUCACCAUGGACUGGAGCUGGAGAGCCCUCUUCCUGGUGGCAGGAGCUACUGGUGUCCACUGUCAAGUGCAGCUGGAGCAGUCUGGGGCUGAGGUGAGGAAGCCUGGGGCCUCAGUGAAGGUCUCCUGCAAGGCUUCUGGAUACACCUUCACCAGCUACACUAUUGACUGGGUGCAGCAGGCACCAGGGCAAGGGCUUCAGUGGAUGGGGUAUGUUAACCCUAACAAUGGUGGCACCAGAUAUGCACAGAAGUUCCAAGGUAGAGUCUCCAUGACUGCAGACAAGUCCACCAGCAUAGCCUACAUGGAGCUGAGCAGCCUAAGAACUGAGGACACAGCCGUGUAUUACUGUGUGAGAGGCACAGUGAGGGAAAGUCAGUGUGAACUCAGACACAAACCUCUCUGUGGGAGACAAGAGGCCUGGACUGCAGGGGAUGCUUAGGACAC